rnacentral:rRNA from 1 species
ACACUCCUGCGGGAGGCAGCAGUGGGGAAUUUUGGACAAUGGGCGAAAGCCUGAUCCAGCAAUGCCGCGUGAGUGAAGAAGGCCUUCGGGUUGUAAAGCUCUUUUGUCAGGGAAGAAACGGUGAGAGCUAAUAUCUCUUGCUAAUGACGGUACCUGAAGAAUAAGCACCGGCUAACUACGUGCCAGCAGCCGCGGUAAUACGUAGGGUGCAAGCGUUAAUCGGAAUUACUGGGCGUAAAGCGUGCGCAGGCGGUUUUGUAAGUCUGAUGUGAAAUCCCCGGGCUCAACCUGGGAAUUGCAUUGGAGACUGCAAGGCUAGAAUCUGGCAGAGGGGGGUAGAAUUCCACGUGUAGCAGUGAAAUGCGUAGAUAUGUGGAGGAACACCGAUGGCGAAGGCAGCCCCCUGGGUCAAGAUUGACGCUCAUGCACGAAAGCGUGGGGAGCAAACGGGAUUAGAAACCCUAGUAGUCCC